rnacentral:lncRNA from 1 species
GGCUCGCUGGGUAGGCAUGAUUUGAAACAUAGAAGACCCAAAUUUUAAGGAAAGAAAGUUAUGGCCAGGUAGUUAAAGGCUAAAGUAAAAGGGGUUAAGAUAGCAGGGAUGGAAAGGCUGUGGGUACAGGAUCUUAGGGACAUGUCCUUAGUGAGUGUCUGGGUCCUAGGUAGCUGGAAACCUGCUUGGAGAUGUGAGGGAUGUCCAGCGACUGCUUCCCCUGAUGGGCAGACAGGUUACAAGGGGAGAUUCAGUCCCUAAGAUAGAAGUGUAGAAACCAGGACUAGGGGGAUAGAAACUAGGAAAUUAGUACAAUAACAAUUGGCAUUACACAUUUGCAUUUGGGUAUCUCAGCCAACAGACUUCUUCAGAAAUCAUCUUCUGACAGGAAUAAGAUCCCUUUAGGAAAUCGGAUUCCUGAGUUGUUUGCAGAGUUGGUAUGUGAUGUUUCUGUUAAUGAAUAUCCUUUUGCAAAGUACACAUUAACUAUAGCAUCUAUAAACACUUGAGUAACAAUAUCUUACAGUUGAAUCUCUUUACCCCAGAUUCUGGGGAAAAUUCAGGAAAGCUUUGAGCUAUUCCAAGUUCAAGAUCCAAACUUCACUUAAGGCUGCAAAUACAAACCAUCAAUUAAUAAACUUCACCUACUUCUCAAAGUAUGUUCCUAAUAAUUUGAGAACAUUCAAUUAGCCUGAUAGGUUGUUUGGGGAAAUGGAAACUUUAAUUUUCCAAUUUGUAUUAUGUGCUGAUUAUGGUGAUGUCACAAAGGAAGAAGGUCCAAAAGGGAAAAUAUCUCCACAUGAGACAAAGAACACAGUGAGUGGCUUCGUGUACCAAGCAUGGCUGGCACUGCCAUUAUUGUUUCACUCAAGGAUUCGCAGCCUAGAUGGUCAGGAAAAUUCAGUCCAAGAUGCAGAAUUGGCCAAUUCUACACCGAGGGUCAACAACUAUGCGUCCAUAGGUUGCCCGACCAAAAGCACUCAGUUCCAGUACUGAGCCCAGAGAGUGAGGCUUCAUUGCUUGCUGAUCUAUUAUACCCCAGUGACAUCUCUCCCUUUGAGUCUCCCUGGAUGAACAGUCAGGACCUCAAUCUGGGUCAGAAGCUAGUCCUCCUAAUAGCAGGAGUCCUGCAAGACAAGAUGCAAAUAAAGUUGGAUUCAUAGACCACUCAGAAGAACAACAAGGAAACAGCUUUGUCUGCACUCUUUGGGAGUCCUUUCCAAAAAUGUAAAACAUUGUUCACCCCAAAUAUCUUUCCAAGGAGACUCUGAGCUAAUGUGAAUCCUUCAAAUUAAAAUACUAGUGUAUUUCACAGGUUGCCUGUACCUUCUUGUAGUUAUGCUCUGGGUUUCCAAUUGGGAAAUAUAAUCUGAACUUUCUAUGGUAUCAGGGAAAUUUUACUAUCUUAUGAAAAAUGCCUUGAUUCAAGGCUAUGGUAUGAUGUCAUAGUUAUAUUAGUUCCUGUCAGACUUACGUAAAUAGUGGCUCAAUUUAAGGGAGAUAAACCCAGAGUGAUGACAACCCACACUUCUCUAGGCACUUUCAGGGUUACAAAAGGACUUUUCUGAUUGCCAUCUUGGGAAGGAAGAAGAUUAAAUCUCCAUUGUACAGCUGAGGAAACUAAGGCUCAGAGAAAUGGAUUGUGAUUUGUCCAAGGCCAUACAAAAGCAAGUGCUGGAAAGAAGAUUCAUGCCCAGGUCUCCUCCUUUCAAGUCCAGCAUUAUUUCCACUUCACCUUCCUUCUGAUCCUUCAAAAGUUUGGAGAGAUGACUGAGCCUUUGUUUAACUUUGAUGUGUUUUGGGAAAAACUGGUCUUUAGGACCAUAAAUCUCAAAAUGGAAGGACCUUAAAAUUCCUCUGGUCCAAUUUCCUUAUUUUACAGAUCAUUGAUCUGAAGCUAAGAGGGAUUUCAAAGGCUGCCUACUCCAACCCACUCAUAUAGAGAUGUAGAACUGAAGCCCAGAGAACCUAAGAGACUUGCUUAAUCUCUCAUGGAAUAAGCACGAAGGCUGAUUUUGAAUUUCUGUGGAAAGAGCACUGGAUUUGGAAUCAGGAAGAGUUAUCUUCCUCAGUUCAAAUAUGACCUCAGAUACUUAAUAACUGUGUGACCCUGGGCAAGUCACUUAACCCUGUUUGCCUCAGUUUUCUCAUCUAUAAAAUGAG